AUUGAACGCUGGCGGCAGGCCUAACACAUGCAAGUCGAGCGAGCGGCGGACGGGUGAGUAAUGUCUGGGAAACUGCCUGAUGGAGGGGGAUAACUACUGGAAACGGUAGCUAAUACCGCAUACCAUCGGAUGUGCCCAGAUGGGAUUAGCUAGUAGGUGGGGUAAAGGCUUACCAAGGCGACGAUCCGUAGCUGGUCUGAGAGGAUGACCAGUCACACUGGAACUGAGACACGGUCCAGACUCCUACGGGAGGCAGCAGUGGGGAAUAUUGGACAAUGGGCGAAAGCCUGAUCCAGCCAUGCCGCGUGUGUGAAGAAGGUCUUCGGCUUGUAAAGUACUUUAAGUUGGGAGGCGUUACCCGCAGAAUAAGCACCGGCUAACUCCGUGCCAGCAGCCGCGGUAAUUC
rnacentral:rRNA from 1 species